UCGAUGUUCCAAUUGGAAUAGAACUCGUCUUCUUCUUCUUCUCCCGCACUCAAUCCUAUCUCCGCCUCACGUCAUUCGCGUCGACAAAAUACGUGUUCCUGCCUGUUCACUUCCCCUUCCUCUCUUCGGCUCCCUCGAGCGUAUGAAACUUGGCGUCACACUCGAGCAUUUGGGAGAUGGAGUUGCGUGCGGGUUGAGCUGAUUGACCGAGCCAGUGGAGAUUCUACUGCUACUAUAAGAACGAUGCGUACAGAUGAAUCUCCUUUUCAUUCAGAGCAGUUGGAGUCGUCAAUUGCCUCAACUAGCUCCCUAUGUGACCUGAAGAGAAUGGGGAGCCUUCAGUCAAUUUGAUUGUUUGCUUCUCUAGGGGAACUGGAGAGGUGAUCUGAUCUAGGUACUGAUUCUGUAAACUGAGUUAGCAUGUGCUCAAGAGAUUAUAUACACAUUUAUUAGAAAAAGAUUUUGAAAGAGAAGAAGAGAGACAAGAAUUGGAAAGCUUUAUUGCAGCACAAGGCCGUGACUUGGCCUUAUAAAUAGAGGGCAACACCGAAACGUGGCCUUACAAGUAGGGGUUACAAAGAUGGAAAAUAGGGAAUGAAUCAAUUCACCCAGCAUGAAAGGAGAUCUGAAUAUUACAGCUGAUUUUUAUUAAAAAAAUUACAAUAAUCUUUAGAAAUCAUCCCCUUUUUGCCCCAGCCCAGCAGCAGUCCAUUCAAGGGCAAAUUGAGAGCUGGAAGAGGGACAGCUACAAGAAAACAUGUCAAUCUAAGAGCGCUUUCGGCUGCUGAUUGUGCCAGCAGGAAAUUUCAUCAUUCAAGAGGACUGCUAUAGCUACCAACAGCAAAUUGUCCAGCUCACUUGCCAUUUAUGUGCUGAAAAUAAUUGAGAGGAGGCUCCAAAUAAGGUGGACAAUAAAUUGCAUCUGUUCUUUUUUUGUUUGGAAAGGCCUGACAACAUUCACCAUUCCUCCUCAUGUGGGUUCGUAAACAUUUUACAAGUAAUGUUGGCCAAUCAUUUUUUCAAACACAGGUGUUGAUGUCAGUCAUCUGAUUGGAGAACAAAAUAUAUAAAAUGCACAAAUCCAUUUUGAAUUUUUUCCUUUAAUAAAUAAAUUGUCCAAUUGCCUCCGCAUGUUUAGUUCAAUAGUGGUGCGUGUAUAUUGUUAAAAACUUUAUUGUCAUAAUAUAUUAUCAUUGGAAUCUUACUGUUACUUUUAGU